rnacentral:rRNA from 1 species
UACAGAGGUCUCAAGCGUUGUUCGGAUUCAUUGGGCGUAAAGGGUGCGUAGGUGGCGCUGUAAGUCGGGUGUGAAAUUUCGGAGCUUAACUCCGAAACUGCAUUCGAUACUGCGGUGCUUGAGGACUGGAGAGGAGACUGGAAUUCAUGGUGUAGCAGUGAAAUGCGUAGAGAUCAGGAGGAAGACCAGUGGCGAAGGCGGGUCUCUGGACAGUUCCUGACACUGAGGCACGAAGGCCAGGGGAGCAAACGGG